AUUACAUGGUCGGAUAAUAUAUAUCGAGCAAAUUAGUCAUUUAGUAAGCUAAUACACACAUCUAGGCAAAUGGAUAUAUAAUUUCUAGAACAUAGUAUUCAACAGUACAUAAUAUACAUCCAGAUGAUAUACAUUUAGCAAAUUAGCCAUUUAACAACUGAAAAUAUAUUUUCAAAUAAAUUGAUAUAUAGUUGUUGAAAUAUCAUAUUCAUUAGUACAUACU
rnacentral:lncRNA from 1 species